GGAUAGCUCAGUUGGUAGAGCAUGAGACCCUUAAUCUCAGGGUUGUGGGUUUGAGUCCCACUAGAUGACCCU